rnacentral:rRNA from 1 species
UACAGAGGUGGCAAGCGUUGUUCGGAAUUACUGGGCGUAAAGGGCGCGUAGGCGGCCUUCUAAGUCAGACGUGAAAUCCCCCGGCUUAACCUGGGAACUGCGUCUGAUACUGGAAGGCUUGAGUUUGGGAGAGGGAUGCAGAAUUCCAGGUGUAGCGGUGAAAUGCGUAGAUAUCUGGAGGAAUACCGAUGGCGAAGGCGGCAUCCUGGACCAACACUGACGCUGAGGCGCGAAAGCUAGGGGAGCAAACGGG